rnacentral:snoRNA from 10 species
CUGACCAAUGAUGAUAAUGUGUCAUAUAUCACGAUUAAUCCAAUUUAGAGUACCUGAGGUCCAUU